rnacentral:tRNA from 1 species
GGUGGCUCAGGGGUAGAGUGCUUGCCUUGCAUGCAUGAGGCCCUGGGUUUGAUUCCCCAGCACCA